UGCGUAGGUGGCCUGGAAAGUUUGAUGUGAAAGCUCGGAGCUUAACUCCGAAAUGGCAUUGAAUACUACUGGGCUUGAGGGUCGGAGGGGAGACUGGAAUUCUCGGUGUAACAGUGAAAUAGCGUAGAUAUCGAGAGGAACACCAGUGGCGAAGGCGAGUCUCUGGACGACCCCUGACACUGAGGCACGAAAGGCUAGGGAGGCAAACA
rnacentral:rRNA from 1 species